rnacentral:rRNA from 1 species
UACGUAGGGGGCAAGCGUUGUCCGGAUUUAUUGGGCGUAAAGAGCGUGUAGGCGGCCAGGUAGGUCCGUUGUGAAAACUCGAGGCUCAACCUCGAGACGGCGGCGGAAACCCUCUGGCUAGAGUCCGGAAGAGGAGAGUGGAAUUCCCGGUGUAGCGGUGAAAUGCGCAGAUAUCGGGAAGAACACCCGUGGCGAAGGCGGCUCUCUGGGACGGUACUGACGCUGAGACGCGAAAGCGUGGGGAGCGAACAGG